rnacentral:rRNA from 1 species
UGCCAGUAGUCAUAUGCUUGUCUUAAAGAUUAAGCCAUGCAUGUCCAAGUAUAAGCCCCUAUGGGGUGAAACUGCGGAUGGCUCAUUAAAUCGGUUGGAAUCUACAUGAGAGUUAUUCUUAAAAGGAUAACCCCGGAAAAUCUGCGGCUAAUACUUGCAAAAAAGGGAGGGCAACCUUCCAGCAUUUAUCAGCUUGAGAGGAUGGCGUGGCAACACGUCUCGGUGAAUCAUGAUAAAAAUUAACAGCAGAUCGCACGAGCUUGACUCGGCGACAAUUCAUUCGACUUUCCGCCCUAUCAACUUUGGAAGGUAGUGUAGUGGACUACCUUGGUUUUCACGGGUGACGGAGAAUUGGGGUUCGAUUCCGGAGAGGGAGCCUGAGAGAUGGCUACUACUUCCAAGGAAGGCAGCAGGCGCGAAGAUUGCCGAACCUACAAAGUAGGAGGCAGUGACAAUAAAUAUCGGAGGGUCAAUUAGAUCCGACUGGAAUGAGAUGGAUGUAAAUAGUCCUACGAGUACCAAUUGGAGGAAAAGUCUGGUGCCAGCACCCGCGGUAAUUCCAGCUCCAAUAGCGUAUACUAAAGUUGUUGCAGUUAAAAAGCUCGUAGUUGAAUUUCUGGUCUCGGACAUCGGUCUGCCUCGAACGAGGUACGUACCAGUUGUCUGAAUCCAUCCUCGGGGAAAACGUAUCUGUCAUUCAGUUGAUGGGUACGGGAUCCUCGUCAUUUACUGUGAGCAAAAUAGAGUGUUCAAAGCAGGCUUAUGCCGUUGAAUACAUUAGCAUGGAAUAAUAAGAUAGGACCUUGGUCUAUUUUGUUGGUUUGUACUCCAAGGUAAUGAUUAAUAGGGAUAGUUGGGGGUAUUCGUAUUCAAUUGUCAGAGGUGAAAUUCUUGGAUUUAUGGAAGACGAACUACUGCGAAAGCAUUUACCAAGGAUGUUUUCAUUAAUCAAGAACGAAAGUUAGGGGAUCGAAGAUGAUUAGAUACCAUCGUAGUCUUAACCAUAAACUAUGCCGACUAGGGAUUGGUGGACGUUUGUAACGACUCCAUCAGCACCUUAUGAGAAAUCAAAGUCUUUGGGUUCCGGGGGGAGUAUGGUCGCAAGGCUGAAACUUAAAGAAAUUGACGGAAGGGCACCACCAGGAGUGGAGCCUGCGGCUUAAUUUGACUCAACACGGG